UACGUAGGUGGCAAGCGUUGUCCGGAUUUACUGGGCGUAAAGAGCGCGCAGGCGGUCGUUCAAGUCGCGUGUGAAAGCCCCCGGCUCAACUGGGGAGGGUCACGCGAUACUGAUCGACUCGAAGGCAGGAGAGGGUAGUGGAAUUCCCGGUGUAGUGGUGAAAUGCGUAGAUAUCGUAGGGAAGACCAGUGGCGAAGGCGGAUCGUCUGGACAGUUACUGACACUGGAGGCAGCGAAGGCCAGGGGAGCAAACGGG
rnacentral:rRNA from 1 species